rnacentral:rRNA from 1 species
CCUACGGGAGGCAGCAGUAAGGAAUAUUGGUCAAUGGAGGCAACUCUGAACCAGCCAUGCCGCGUGCAGGAUGACGGCCCUAUGGGUUGUAAACUGCUUUUAUACAAGAGAAAACCCUGGUACGUGUACCAGGUUGAUAGUAUUGUAAGAAUAAGCAUCGGCUAACUUCGUGCCAGCAGCCGCGGUAAGACGAAGGAUGCAAGCGUUAUCCGGAUUCAUUGGGUUUAAAGGGUGCGUAGGCGGACUGAUAAGUCAGUGGUGAAAUCUCUUUGCUUAACAAAGAAACUGCCAUUGAUACUGUCGGUCUAGAGUAUAGAUGACGUUGGCGGAAUAUGACAUGUAGUGGUGAAAUACUUAGAUAUGUCAUAGAACACCGAUUGCGAAGGCAGCUAACGAAACUAUAACUGACGCUGAGGCACGAAAGUGCGGGGAUCAAACAGGAUUAGAUACCCUGGUAGUCCGCACCGUAAACGAUGAUUACUCGUUGUUGGCGAUAUGACAGUCAGCGACCAAGCGAAAGCGAUAAGUAAAUCCACCUUGGGGAGUACGCCGGNAACGGUUGAAACUUAAAGGAAUUGACGGCUUGAGAGNGCGAGCGACACGAGGAGGAGG